CUUAGUUUUAAAAGCAAAAUGAAUAUUUAAAAGGAAAAGUUCCAAAUCGCCUUCAAACUUUGCUAUUAAUCACAUGGAGGUACACUAAUGUUAGUUUCAUUUUAAUCAAAGUGUAUGACGGUGUAUACUUCAAAGCGCAAGUUGUCAAUGUUUGAUAUCGUAAGAUGACGCAAGCUUGCAUUAGACCUCAUUAUCUAUGUUUUUGCUAAGGGAAGCCUCACAUAUCGAUUUUUUCCAAG